GUAUAUCUGAAUCUUCUCGUUCUCAUCUUUUGCUUGGAUCGUACUCAAGGAUCCAUACCUGACUGACUUCUUCCUUUCAAAAGCAAUAGUCAGACAGAGUACCAUUGGGCCAAGGUGGCGGAACGGCCUAGUUCGGCCCAACAAACCUUAGUACUAUAUUGGGCCCACUUUUCAGCCACAUCAGCAUACCGGCCCAAUACAUACGAUGGCUUCAGAGCCCCAACCCAAACCAUAUAGUUUCCCUUCUCCCAAUCUCCCCCACGAAGCGGAUCAAAUCGGUGGUGCCGGCCAAUCUCCGGCGAGCCGUCAGCGACUGCGCGGCGAGCGAUCUCCCUUCCACUGAUAACCCUUUCCACUCGGUUUGAUGACCUCCCUCUGUUGAUCAAUGCGACCUGGAACAAUUUGUCUGCACUGCACGGUGCACACGAUGAUAGCUUGCGAUAGCCGCCGAAUCGGCAAGCUGGAUCUGGGGUCCCCGGUCAGUAUAAUUGAUGGCAUUUUGGCAUCUGUCAUCAGCAUCCGAAGCUAGACAUGUACUCCAUCUGGAAUUCUUGAAGAUCCGAAUAGUAGCGGAUGGAAAAAUAUCUGCUGCUUUUGUGAGGCCACCAUGUUCGAUGUUCUCAUUAGUUCUGUUGCAAAACAAGGACUGCAUCAAUUUUUUUUUCGAACAGUUAGACCGUUGCCGAUGUUUUAUAUUAAGAUGGUGUCCCAUUUUAAAAAGUAAACGGGACCAAA